rnacentral:rRNA from 1 species
UACGUAGGGUGCUAGCGUUGUUCGGAAUCAUUGGGCGUAAAGCGCGUGUAGGCGGCUAAUUAAGUCGAGUGUGAAAUCCCCAGGCUCAACCUGGGAAGUGCAUUCGAAACUCAUUAGCUGGAAGACGGUAGAGGAAGGUAGAAUUCCUAGUGUAGAGGUGAAAUUCGUAGAUAUUAGGAGGAACACCGGUGGCGAAGGCGGCCUUCUGGACCGUUCUUGACGCUGAGACGCGAAAGCGUGGGGAGCAAACAGG